GACGAACGCUGGCGGCGUGCUUAACACAUGCAAGUCGAACGGAAAGGCCCUGCUUUUGUGGGGUGCUCGAGUGGCGAACGGGUGAGUAACACGUGAGUAACCUGCCCUUGACUUUGGGAUAACUUCAGGAAACUGGGGCUAAUACCGGAUAGGAGCUCCUGCUGCAUGGUGGGGGUUGGAAAGUUUCGGCGGUUGGGGAUGGACUCGCGGCUUAUCAGCUUGUUGGUGGGGUAGUGGCUUACCAAGGCUUUGACGGGUAGCCGGCCUGAGAGGGUGACCGGCGACAUUGGGACUGAGAUACGGCCCAGGCUCCUACGGGAGGCAGCAGUGGGGAAUAUUGCACAAUGGGCGGAAGCCUGAUGCAGCAACGCCGCGUGCGGGAUGACGGCCUUCGGGUUGUAAACCGCUUUCGCCUGUGACGAAGCGUGAGUGACGGUAAUGGGUAAAGAAGCACCGGCUAACUACGUG
rnacentral:rRNA from 1 species